AGCGAACGCUGGCGGCAGGCCUAACACAUGCAAGUCGAACGGAUCCUUCGGGAUUAGUGGCGGACGGGUGAGUAACACGUGGGAACGUGCCCUUUGGUUCGGAACAACUCAGGGAAACUUGAGCUAAUACCGGAUGUGCCCUUCGGGGGAAAGAUUUAUCGCCAUUGGAGCGGCCCGCGUCUGAUUAGCUAGUUGGUGAGGUAAAGGCUCACCAAGGCGACGAGCAGUAGCUGGUCUGAGAGGCUGAUCAGCCACAUUGGGACUGAGACACGGCACAAACUCCUACGGGAGGCAGCAGUGGGGAAUCUUGCGAAAUGGGCGAAAGCCUGACGCAGCCAUGCCGCGUGAAUGAUGAAGGUCUUAGGAUUGUAAAAUUCUUUCACUGGGGACGAUAAUGACGGUACCCGGAGAAGAAGCCCCGGCUAACUUCGUGCCAGCCGCCGCCGUAACAC
rnacentral:rRNA from 1 species